UACAGAGGGGGCAAGCGUUAUUCGGAAUUACUGGGCGUAAAGGGCUCGUAGGUGGUCAACUAAGUCGGACGUGAAAUCCCUCGGCUUAACCGGGGAACUGCGUCCGAUACUGGAUGACUUGAGUUCGGGAGAGGGAUGCGGAAUUCCAGGUGUAGCGGUGAAAUGCGUAGAUAUCUGGAGGAACACCGGUGGCGAAGGCGGCAUCCUGGACCGACACUGACGCUGAGGAGCGAAAGCCAGGGGAGCAAACGGG
rnacentral:rRNA from 1 species